AGAGGGAAGCCAGCACUAAGCGUGAAACCGGAGCAGCAUCCAAACGAACGCCUGGCUUUGUGCUCCUUCCGCUCAGGAGCAUCAUGACACUUCACCGGAGAAGCCACUGGCCACAAAGCUGGACCUAUUUUCAUCUGCCCAGCACACAAAAAGAAACCUCAGAGGCUCACUGCAGAGAGGGGCAUCUUGGGGGCCAGAACGUCUCCAUGACAACCAUUACAAUAAAAAACGCCAGUAAGUUUUUUGGAAAUGCUACCAUCACAAAUGUAAACAUGAGGAAGUUGGCUUGACGCUAACAGAAACUUAACUGGCACUAUAAUCAGAUUAGGGUAGGUGUCCCGAUCAGCGCGAUAUCAAAGUUGGACCGAUUUCCAGUAUCGAUAUCAGAGCGAUUUCUGAUACUGACAUGUAGACCCAUUGGUUCAUGAUAAAUGGCUCAGUUGUUCUCAGACCUACUGCUGCUGACUAUUGUUCUCUGUUUGAUUAAAAUUGCUCAAUCAAGUCUUUUCUAACAUCAUACACCACUAAAUUAGUCAUAAAAGUGUGUAUGAUUUGUGCUGAUAUCACGCCGGGUCAAUAUCAAUAUUGGCCAAUGCUCAUAUCUGCGAUAUUAGUAUCGUAUCAGGAGGGAAAAGUUGUAUCGGGACAUCCAGAUACAAAAAAAAGGC